UGGCUUGUCUACCUCCACAUUCCUGAGAGAGCUGGGGUUCCCAGCUUCCUUUGUGUGAAGUGAAAGAAUAGAGCUGAUUUACAGGGUAAAUAAAAUAUCAGAGGAAGUAGAGGUUAGCUGUUACUUAUAGCUAAGAGAGAUUUAUGAAAUUACAUAGUAACUCAACCUAAACCUUAGGCUGUAGGCAUUAUGGUCUACAUAGUUCCAUACCUCAUUAGAGGGAAAAAAUGUGGAGAAUGGAGAACACUAAGUCCUUCUUCUGUUAAAAAAAAUUUCUGGUCUUAGUGCAGAUGUGAUCUACAAUCAAAAGAACACUCUACAUUUUUUAUAGCAUCUUUCCAUACUAGGUUUCACUGGAGACUGUAAAAUCCUACUCUAACAGAGCUGAAUGGAAAAUAUUCUAUUUUUUUGUUUGGAGAAACUGAGGCUCAGAGGCAGCACUUUAAGAAGCAAAUGGCUGUGAAAUGCUCUCUGGUCCUGUUUUGUACUUGAUUCAGCUGGUGAAGACCAAGAAGUCUUGGCCAGUCAAGUAUUCCAUAUGGCAAUGAAGACUGUUAACCUAUGCACUUUCACUUCUGGAACUGAGCCCCCAAGGAUGUACCAGAAGCUAUAUGAGGUUGAAAGAAGGAAGAGACACCUUUGCUCUGGGCCCUUGAAGUUCCUUGGAGAGGGCAGGACCAAGAGCAUCUCAGUGACAAACAUAAUGGACUGAAAUCCAGGGUCCCCCUGCAAUUUUCCAGCACUGUAUUGGUUCUAAUUUACAGAUCCUCAAGGUACUACUAGCCCAACAGCUGGAAAGGAUCUUUAUCAAGAAUCAAGGAUGUAUAAUCACUUAAUUAUUACAUUUCCGGACAUGUGGAAUAUGUGCUAUCAAUUACUCGUCAAGUUUCAUUUCUGAGGUCAAAGACUUCAGCAACUCCCUUCACUUCAACGAAUAAGCAAUUCCACGGCAAAGUUUGAGCAAAUAAAAGACCUUCCCAUUUAAGGAACAUUAACAUGAGAAAUCAUGCAAGUGUAUUUUACAACUGAGCAUUGAGCAGAUGGAGCAUGAGGAGUUCUUAAAGGCUCUGGAAUGCUACUUGACAGGUCCAUGCCAAGAUGCCCAUCUCUG